UUAAUAAUGUGGUUUUAAGUAUAUGAAAAUUGCAACAGACUUGACUAUUAUUAUUUAAGUGUAUUAUGUUAUGUUGUGUUGUUUUUUUUACUAAUAUAUAUACUAUGUCAUAGUUUAUAAAAAAAAAGUGUAAAGUUUUGUGCGCAGACAUUAAUUAAAAAAUUUAAUGAAAGAUGCAUGGACAAGAACUUUAUUGCAACCAAAAAGGCCUUGCCCGUGCUUUGAAAGUGGAUAAUAAGACAUGUUACAGUCAACUUAAAAUAUAUUUCUCCCGCAGUUGCCGUGGUAAAAAGCUACUUAACCUUAAUGAUAAACCAUUUACAUUAAAUAGAAAAAUUAAGGAUGCUUGCUACUGGGAAUGCGUAAAAAUGCGAUGCAAAUAUACGAAGUGUUCCGCUCGUGCAAUUACAAAAUUUGAUGAAAUUAUAUCCAUCAGAGGGGUACAUAAUCAUAAUUAAAUAUGUUUGGAUGAAAGCAGAUUAUAGCUUUACCCGCAAUCGUAGGGGUGGUCUAAAUCUUAUCCACAAAGGAUUUCAUUACACAAUUGAACGCAAGUACAGUACAACUAGAAAUUGGGUUUGUAACAAAAAUAGUAAUACUGCACUGCGAUGUCCUGCAAGAUGUAUUACUUCCGGUUUCAAUAAUAUCAAAUUUAGUCGUAAGCAACAUAAUCACGAUCCAAUUAGUAAUGAUUAAGCAAAAAACGCCAAUAAUA